UACGUAGGUGGCAAGCGUUGUCCGGAAUUACUGGGUGUAAAGGGAGCGUAGGCGGGGAGACAAGUUGAAUGUUUAAACUAUCGGCUUAACUGAUAGUCGCGUUCAAAACUAUCACUCUUGAGUGCAGUAGAGGUAGGCGGAAUUCCUAGUGUAGCGGUGAAAUGCGUAGAUAUUAGGAGGAACACCAGUGGCGAAGGCGGCCUGCUGGGCUGUAACUGACGCUGAGGCUCGAAAGCGUGGGUAGCAAACAGG
rnacentral:rRNA from 1 species